CAUUAGUCCUCAGUUUCCUCAUCUGAAAAGUGGGAUGAUAGCCAUGGAAUUAAUCUCUUUUUAGUCCUCACCGGGGUCCCCCAGCGCUGGUCAUUCACACUCUCCAGGGACCGAUCAUCACUGACUGAACAUGGCUGGUGGUAAUGGCAGCAUGAUGGUCCUCAGAGUUUUCCUCCCACUGAGUUGGUUUACUGCCCAGAGCCUGGUGAACGCCCAGUUGACCCCUGCCUCAAGCCGGACCCAGGUACGUCUGGCUACGAGGAGGCUGGCAGCGGGUGGAUCCCCCUGACGGCUGGGGUGGGGGCAGAGGGGAACAUCUCUCUGAUGCCCAGUCUUCCCUCAGGCUUGCCACAGUUUUCACUGCAGAGGGGAGAUGUGCUAUCAGGGA
rnacentral:lncRNA from 1 species